CACACACCGGUGACUCAGGGCUUAGCUAGUUAAUAACAACAUUUCUGAAGUAUAUUAAUAAUAAUAUUCAAGCAAUAGUGACAGGAAAUGUGUGAAGUGACAAUAUUAACUCAAAGAGCUAGCAUCGCUGAGGCUUACUCUGUGCCAGGCUGGGGGUUUCACAUUCUUAUUUUACUCAUCACAGAAACCCUCUGAGAACAUGCGCUCUGUGGUUACCAUCUUACAGAUGAGGAUCGGGAGAUGGGGUUUCAUCAUGUUUCCCAGGCUGAUCUCAAACUCCUGGACCCAAGCAAUCUGCCCCCCUUGGCAUCCCAAAGUUCUGGGAUUACAGACUUCACAGAGCCACCCGGGUGUGAGAAAAGACAUUUGACGAGGAUGAUGAAUGAAAAUGAUACUUUACCAGUUCUUUCUGCAAAAAAGCCUGAAAUACUCUAAGAUCAUUUGAUGGAGGUUUCCCUGUGAGAAAGCAAUCAUAACUGACUUAAAAAGGGAGCCUCCAUCAAUACAGUAUACAGAUUUAAAAAAAAAAAAACACACGAUUAAAAAAACUCAUCAUAGAACCAUAAGGCUUCAGAAAUGUGCUAUGGUUUUAUAUUUUUCUUAAUUAGGUGCUCGAAAUGUGAGUAAAAGCGACUAUGACUUCUGUUCAGACUGAACUUCCAAAUGCUGGAAGCACGGUAAACUCGGCACAAGAAGUACUUGUGAAGGAAUGGGCUUCUAAAGAGCCUGCCAUGGAUCCUUUCCACAUCUACCAAGAAGUUUUGGCAAUAUACCUACCAUAGGCCCUCUGAGUGUAGCCAGAAACAAACAAAUAAACAAAAAGCCAGCAUCAUCGGCACCUGGGGGAUUGUCAGAAAAGCACUCUCAGACCCAACUCCAUCCUAUG